GGGUAUAAGGGACAGGUGAAUCAUCGAAUCUUUGAACGCACAUUGCGCCCCUUGGUACUCCAUGGGGCAUGCCUGUUCGAGCGUCAUUUACACCCUCAAGCUCAGCUUGGUGUUGGGCGUCUGUCCCGCUUCGUGCGCGGACUCGCCUCAAAUGCAUUGGCAGCGGUCUUGCCAGCUUCUCGCGCAGCACAUUGCGCUUCUAGAGGCUUUGGCGGAUCGGCGUCCAUCAAGUACACCCACAGUUUGACCUCGGAUCAGGUAGGGAUACCCGCUGAACUUAAGCAUAUCAAUAAGCGGAGG
rnacentral:misc_RNA from 1 species